UAUAUCUUUUAUUGAAAGAAUUGUUUUAAAAUGUACUGAAUAUAAUGUGAAAUUGAAUAAAUUAUAUAAAGUUAAAUAAACCACUGUAGUUGUGUGUUAAGAUGUGCUAUUGUUUUUUAAAUUUAAGCAAACUCCUUUGCUUUAUGAUACCACUGGUAGCGGCAGUUAUUCUUGGGACUUUCUUAUAUAAUUAUUUUAAAGCGGAACAUGUUCCCCAGCUUCCUUGAGGUUGAAGAACAUUAAAUACCUACGUAGAAUGCACAUUGAUGCACAGCUCGAAGUCUCGCAGCAGUUGACAGUCUCGAAGCCACAAGUUCUGCAAAGUUGCUCACAGCGAUGAUAUAAUAGUGACGUA